ensembl:lncRNA novel transcript
GGAGAUGGACAUGGACAGGGGCUGAAACUGCAGUACCAGCAGAUGGGGAGCUUAAGAAGGAAGCUAGUUCAUGGCACAGCACCCGUAAAGUCCCCAGAAUUGGAGGCACCAGAUUCUUCUGAAAGAAAAGGAGCAAUUCAGCACUUGUCAUGCAGAUAAGAGGUCAACACCCCAGGACGGAGUGAAAACCUAAGAUGGGACUGUCUAGUUGCAGGAAAACAAGUUCAGGGUUCCCACUGAUUCUACAUUAUGGGUCAUCAAGACAGGAGGAUAUGAGGCAGAAUCACCACACAAGCUAACCUGAUGUACAUAUGACAUUAAUCCAAUAGACUUAGGAAUAAGAUACAGGGGGUUUUCCUGAAUGAUUCGAGUAUAUCCCCAUUCAUAUUAAGAAAACAAAGUAUUGGCCAAGCGUGGUGGCUCACGCCUGUAAUCCCGGCACUUUGGAAGGCCGAGGCCAGUGGAUCACCUGAGAUGGACUCAACGACUCUCUUACCGUCCAGCUCUCAAGUCCCUUCUCUUGUGAAAAUGGAAAAGUUGAACUACAGUUGAGAUAUUAUUCCCAGGUGUUCUUUGGAACACAGGGGAUUUCUCCAAAAGGCACAGAACAAAUUGCCUCCAAACAGCCAAGAUUCCAGCAGAAGCUGGAGUAGCAGACUACUUGGAUCUUCAAAGUACCUGGCCCUGAGUCAGUUAAGGAAGAUCUUUUCUUCUCUUUUGUACAAUCCUAUGAUGAGAGCUGCAAAGUGAACUGACUAAGAGCUUCUGCCUUGAUCAUUGACCUCCCAAUCCUAAUAAUAUGUUCACUGGCCAAACUUCCUAAUCGAUUUGUCUUUUGGAUAUAACGUUCCUCCUACUGUUUGCCUGAUUGAGAAAUCUGCUACAGAACAUGACCGGUUAGCAUUCCCACCAACCCCAGUGCUACACUGACUGUCUUUCGAUGGACUUUGCUCCUUGCUGCCUCUCUGAGGUCCCAGACCUUCAGAGUGACCUUCACAGCUCUGCCUAACUUUCUGUCAUACUUCUAUCAAGAGAGACAGCUAAAUCAAUAUUUUUAAUGUGCUUUGCUGUCGGAAUUCGAUGAUCUGUCACAGUUCUUGCCCAAUACACCCCAUCAUUAUUGUUAAAAUGUUUUUAGCUUUGUUUGUAGAAUUGCUUUAACUGGUUUCAUCUCUGGGAGCUACACUUUGAAAUAUAACUUUAGCAACAUUUUACUAUACUUUUUCACAACCCAGAGCAGUACUAUUUUAUGCUUAGUGGUUAAACUAAUUCCAUAAAUCUUUUGCAACUAUCCUCUAUUCUUUUUCUUGUAAUUUUUACCUGGGAAGGUUUUUACUGAUAAUCAUCCUAUCCUGAGUCAUCCCACAAACCAAUCUGUCUCACUAAUCAUUGCUUCUAACCUACAGACUAAGCAUAACUUCUGCUAAAUGAUCUUUGAUAAGAUGCUAUGACUCUAUAAAGUCUUUGAUAUUCAUGUCUAAAUUUAAUCACUUGUAGAUUUUCAUAGAAUCAAUCUUUCACUUCUACAAUUGGGAGUAUUUAUAAGUUGUUUAUCUUAAACAGUUCCUCUAUCACGCUUUUCACGUUAAAUAAAGCAAUCCCUUCAAAUCAA